rnacentral:rRNA from 1 species
GACAGAGGGUGCAAACGUUGUUCGGAAUUACUGGGCGUAAAGCGCGUGUAGGCUGCUCAGAAAGUCGGAUGUGAAAGCCCUGGGCUUAACCUAGGAAGUGCAUUCGAAACUUCUGAGCUUGAGUUCUGGAGAGGAAGGCGGAAUUCUCGGUGUAGAGGUGAAAUUCGUAGAUAUCGUAAGGAAGACCAGUGGCGAAGGCGGGUCUCUGGACAGUUCCUGACGCUGAGGCACGAAGGUCAGGGGAGCAAACGGG